rnacentral:rRNA from 1 species
AUACGUAGGUGACAAGCGUUAUCCGGAUUUACUGGGCGUAAAGGGCGUGUAGGCGGUCUUGCAAGUCAGAAGUGAAAUUCCUGAGCUCAACUCGGGCGCUGCUUCUGAAACUGCAGGACUUGAGUGCUGGAGGGGAUAGCGGAAUUCCUAGUGGAGCGGUAAAAUGCGCAGAUAUUAGGAAGAACACCGGUGGCGAAGGCGGCUAUCUGGGCAGUAACAGACACUGAGACGCGAAAUCGUGGGGAGCAAACAGGAUGAGUUACCCGGGUGGUCCACGCCGUAAACGAUGAAUACUAGGUGUAGGGGGUAUCGACUCCCUCUGUGCCGCAGUUAACACAAAAAGUAUUCCGCCUGGGGAGUACGGCCGCAAGGUUGAAACUCAAAUGAAUUGACGGGU